rnacentral:tRNA from 1 species
GCCGCGGUGGUGAAAUCGGCAGACACGCUAGCUUCAGGAGCUAGUGCCCGCAAGGGCUUGGGAGUUCAAAUCUCCCCCGCGGCA